GUGCUCACUUCCGCAGCACAUGUAUUAAAAAAUCGGAACAAUACAGAGAUUAGCACGGGCCCUGCGCAAAGAUGACAUGCAAAUUCAUGAAGUGUUGCAUAUUUUU
ensembl:snRNA U6 U6 spliceosomal RNA